rnacentral:rRNA from 1 species
AGAGUUUGAUCCUGGCUCAGGAUGAACGCUGGCGGCGUGCUUAACACAUGCAAGUCGAACGAUCCUUCGGGAUAGUGGCGGACGGGUGAGUAACGCGUGGGAAUCUGCCCUUAGGAGGGGGAUAACGGCUGGAAACGGCCGCUAAUACCCCAUAUGCCGAGAGGUGAAAUGAAAUUCGCCUGAGGAUGAGCCCGCGUCUGAUUAGCUAGUUGGUGGGGUAAAGGCCUACCAAGGCAACGAUCAGUAGCUGGUCUGAGAGGAUGAUCAGCCACACUGGGACUGAGACACGGCCCAGACUCCUACGGGAGGCAGCAGUGGGGAAUUUUCCGCAAUGGGCGAAAGCCUGACGGAGCAACGCCGCGUGAGGGAUGAAGGCCUCUGGGCUGUAAACCUCUUUUCUCAAGGAAGAAGAACUGACGGUACUUGAGGAAUAAGCCACGGCUAAUUCCGUGCCAGCAGCCGCGGUAAUACGGGAGUGGCAAGCGUUAUCCGGAAUUAUUGGGCGUAAAGCGUCCGCAGGCGGCCUUGUAAGUCUGUUGUUAAAGCGUGGAGCUCAACUCCAUUUAAGCAAUGGAAACUACAAGGCUGGAGUGUGGUAGGGGCAGAGGGAAUUCCCGGUGUAGCGGUGAAAUGCGUAGAUAUCGGGAAGAACACCAGUGGCGAAGGCGCUCUGCUGGGCCAUAACUGACGCUCAUGGACGAAAGCCAGGGGAGCGAAAGGGAUUAGAUACCCCUGUAGUCCUGGCCGUAAACGAUGAACACUAGGUGUCGGGGGAAUCGACCCCCUCGGUGUCGUAGCCAACGCGUUAAGUGUUCCGCCUGGGGAGUACGCACGCAAGUGUGAAACUCAAAGGAAUUGACGGGGGCCCGCACAAGCGGUGGAGUAUGUGGUUUAAUUCGAUGCAACGCGAAGAACCUUACCAGGGUUUGACAUCCUGCGAAUCCCUUGGAAACGAGGGAGUGCCUUCGGGAGCGCAGUGACAGGUGGUGCAUGGCUGUCGUCAGCUCGUGUCGUGAGAUGUUGGGUUAAGUCCCGCAACGAGCGCAACCCACGUCUUUAGUUGCCAGCAUUGAGUUGGGCACUCUAGAGAGACCGCCGGUGAUAAACCGGAGGAAGGUGUGGAUGACGUCAAGUCAUCAUGCCCCUUACAUCCUGGGCUACACACGUACUACAAUGCUACGGACAAAGGGCAGCAAGCUCGCGAGAGUUAGCAAAUCCCAUAAACCGUGGCUCAGUUCAGAUCGUAGGCUGCAACUCGCCUACGUGAAGGAGGAAUCGCUAGUAAUCGCAGGUCAGCAUACUGCGGUGAAUACGUUCCCGGGCCUUGUACACACCGCCCGUCACACCAUGGAAGUUGGCCAUGCCCGAAGUCGUUACUCCAACCCUUGUGGAGGAGGACGCCGAAGGUGGGGCUGAUGACUGGGGUGAAGUCGUAACAAGGUA